CCCACCUCUUCCCAUUCCGAACAGAGAAGUUAAGCCCGCUUGCGCCGAUGGUACUGCAAUGCAAUGCGGGAGAGUAGGUGGCUGCCUUCU
rnacentral:rRNA from 1 species